AACCAGCACCUCAAGUGGUCAGGAUGAUUAUUGGGCCUAAAGCAUCCGUAGCCGGCUCUGUAAGUUUUCGGUUAAAUCUGUACGCUCAACGUACAGGCUGCUGGGAAUACUGCAGAGCUAGGGAGUGGGAGAGAUAGACGGUACUCGGGAGGAAGUGGUAAAAUGCUUUGAUCUCUCGAUGACCACCUGUGGCGAAGGCGGUCUAUCAGAACACGUCCGACGGUGAGGGAUGAAAGCUGGGGGAGCAAACCGGAUUAGAAACCCGAGUAGUCC
rnacentral:rRNA from 1 species